rnacentral:lncRNA from 1 species
GAAAACAGACACGAGGGGAGGAGAAAACGGAAAAAGAAGAAGGGAAGGAGGACGGCUAGGAGAGGGAGCAUCGUGGCUGGGAUCUGUAAGGGGGCACCGAUGCCGUGGUGUGGGAGGUGCGAGUCUCGACAAGCAGCGGAAGAGGUAUGUAGAGUUAUAUUUUUCCACUCGGAUGUAUAGGGUUGGGGAUGUGAGGAAGGGAAAUGGUUGGGUCAAUUCUCUAGAGUUUAAUGAUAUGAAAAUCAUGAUGGUCACAAUGACGUGAUCCAACAUAACGGGGUGGGAAGAUCAGAUUUAAUUCUGAUCGGAUCUAGUACUGGUAGGAUACCUUGAUAGAUGUAGUUAUUGUUAAGUGUAGUUGUUUGGAAUGAUCAGAUUUAUUUCCAGUCAAAUGUAAUUACAGUUAAUUUUAGCCACUUGAAAUAAACAGAUUUAUUUCUGGUUUACUACUGCUAACGGAACAGAUUUGUUACUGUUAAUGGAUCUGAUUUAGAAUAACCGGAUCUAUUCGGAUCAGAUUUAGUUUAUGGUUAAGAAGUAUUAAUAAGUUAGUAGUGUUAAAAUUUAGUUACUGUUAAGAGAGUUUAUUUUAAAUCAGAUUUCUCUCUAAAACAAAUUACGAUGAUGAUGUUAAAAUAUUAAGUUACUGUAAUUGUAUGUCUGUUGCUUUUGCUUUCUAUGAUUAUAUUAUAUGUGAUUAGCAAUUCCAGGGUCUUUCUGAAUUAUAUAUAAGCUACAGUACUAAAGAUAUUUUAGAAUAUGAAUAUCUUAACAUGUUAAAAUGUAAUCUGUUAAUAUUGUUAACAGGAUGGUACAUCUGGAUCCUUUGAAUAUAAAUAAGCUAAUAGUUUGAAUGAUUGCUAUGAUCCUAAUCCGGUUUAGGGCUAUACGUGUUCCUUUUAAACUUGGGGAUUGUCAUGCGGGUAGAAUUAAAUAGAGAAUACUAUAUAAUAUUUUCCGAACGUUUAAUCCGAGGUUUGUUUUCCACUCUAUAUUUCUUUUUUUGUUUCAUAUGUUAAAAUGAUAAUAGGGUUGGGGAAAGAAUUUACAUGAACGGACAUGGGGAUAAGGAUAGGAAUGCAUAUAUGAAUGGGUAAAUGGAUGAAUGAAAGCAUGAAUGACGAAUAACGAAUGACGAAUGACGAAUGACGAGUGAUGACCCAUUAGAGGACAUGAAUGAUAAAUGGUUGAUACUACUAGCCUAAAUGUUUACAUAUGCAUGUGUUAUGUUGACUGAGAUUUUUAGAAAUUGUUGGAGUCUACACUUUACAUACUGAGUGAUGUGGUCACUCACGGAUACAUGACAUGUUGCAGGGAAUGGAGGCAACCUUGCCUAAUUGGAGUGGUAGAAGACAAAGGACUCGUCGGGAUGACGAGGCACGCCGGCGUAGGGUGUGAAGCGAUGUAGUCAUUGUCUUCGUCUUUGGUUGUAAUAAGUACUGUGCUAGUUUUCGAAUACUAAGUGUUUGUAGUAUUCCCUGAUGUGACAUUUUCAUUUGACAGUAAAACUAUUCUUAAUCAUUUUAUGAGAAUUAAGACCCAGUUUGGAAGCAGGGUUUUACACAUAUCUAGAGUGAAGAUUCCAAACCUUACUGUACAAGAUGCAAAAAACAAAACCACACUUUGGAAACAUGUUUCUAUGAACAUGGUUUUUCAUCAGGACAUGGGCUCCAUGGAGUAGACUUCAACAAAAAGAAAGAAAACACAAAAUUUGUUGGAAAGAAAAGCUACAAUGGAAAACCCAACAAAGGGUACAAAGGGAAAUACCAAAGCAACAAUGCUAGCACACAACCAGAAGAAGAUGGACAAACUUCAAAUGAAGAUAAAACUGAAAACAAAUACAUCACUAAAUUCACACAAUACCAUACACUAAAUCUUCAAAUGAUCAAUGGAUCAUUGACACAGGGGCAACAGAUCAUAUGUGUUCCCCCAACACACCACUAAACAACAUUAAAAUACUAAUAUACCCAAUCAACAUCCACCUUCCAAACUCCCAAACCACAAGAGUCUCAUCAAGUGGCUCUAUAACCAUAUCAAAAGACAUCACACUACACAAUGUUUUAAAAAUACCAACCUUCUCUGUCAACCUAUUAUCUGUGAGUCAAUUAACUAAAGACAUGAAUUGUUCAUUUAUCUUCCACCCUACUUUCUGUUCCAUACAGGAUCAGCAGGGAAACCAAAUUGGUGGUGGUGAGAAGAAAGGAGGACUGUAUAUCCUAAGACUAAAAUCCCAAGCCAACUAUAGUCAACAAAAAGAGUCAAAGGAUGGAGAAAUCUGGCACCAGAGACUAGGGCACCCUGCUUCUUUUAGAUUCUAUCAUCUGAAUUUAUUAGAAAAAUGUAUCCCUAAGUCUUUUUCUAAAUUCUGCAAAACUUGUCCUCUGUCCAAACAGACAAGACUACCUUUUAAUUCAAGUACAAAUAAAACAACAAAAUGCUUUCAAUUAAUUCAUUUAGACAUCUGGGGAAAGCAUAACACACCCACACAUCAAGGAAAUAACUAUUUCCUAACAAUAGUGGAUGACUAUUCUAGAGCUACUUGGGCAUUUCUAAUGACAAACAAAGCUGAAACAUUGAGAAAAUUCAAACAAUUUGUGACAGAUAUACAAAACCAACACCAAGCCAACAUCCAGACUAUAAGGACAGACAAUGGAACAUAAUUCCUAUCUAAAGAAUUCCAAAAUAUCCUAAAAACAAAUGGGAUAGCACACUAACUCUCAUGUCCUUACACUCCCCAAUAGAAUGGGAGAGUAGAAAGAAAACACCCACACAUAUUACAAGUGGCUAGGUCACUUAUGAUCCAAUCCAACAUUCCCCUAAAAUAUUGGGGGGAAUGCAUCCUAACAGCUGUCUUUUUAAUAAAUAGAACUCCAGCUGUUGUCCUAGACAAUGACAUCCCAUAUCACAGGCUAUUUAAUGAACAACCAAACCUCUCCAUCCUAAGAGUAUUUGGAUGCCUUUGUUAUGCCACAAACAACAAAACCAAAUCAAAAUUUGAAAGCAGAGCCAUCAAAGGAAUCUUCCUUGGAUACUCUUUUCAAAGGAAGGGUUACAAAAUACUAAACCCAGUGACUCAAGAAAUCUUUACAAAUAGAGAUGUCACUUUCUUUGAAGAAAUCUUCCCUUUCAAGGAAGAACCACAACGACAAAUAAAGGACCCUUCAAUGACGAAGAAACAAACACAAUAAACACCCCUUCAAAUGACCAGUAUGAGUCAGAAGAAGAAGAGGAACCAUCUCAAAUCCCUCCUUCAAUGGAACCCACUGAACAAUAUGAAUCAGAGGAAGAAGAAGAGGCAACCCAAACUGAGGAAACCAAGACCAACAAAACCUCAAAAAGAAUCAGAAAAACACCUUCCUAUUUAAAGGACUACAAAUUACAACUAGCAUCAUCCAGACACCCAAUAGAAAGGCUGAUAUUUUGUAAAAAAUUUAACCCAGAGCACUAUGCUCUGCUAUCAGUAAUAAAGAAAAACAUUGACCCAAACUCUUACAAGGAAGUAUCCAAACAUGAAAAAUGAAACAAUGCCAUGGAACAAGAGCUUGAAGCUCUUGAAAACAACAAAACUUGGACAAUCACUAUAAUCCCUGAAGGAAAGAAACCAAUUGGGUGUAAAUGGGUUUACAAGACCAAGUUCAACAGUGAUGGAACUGUUAAAAAAUACAAAGCAAGACUAGUGGCCAAGGGAUACAACCAGGUUGAGGGUAUAGAUUUCAUAGAAACCUUUGCCCCUGUCUCCGAGAUGACAACACUAAGAGUCAUCUUGGCAAUAGGAGUGUCCAAAAAAUGGCAUAUGCAUCAAAUGGAUGUACAAAAUGCAUUUUUACAUGGAACUCUAGAGGAAACAAUAUAUAUAUGAAAAUCCCUUUGGGAUUAAAAAUACCAAAGGAUUCACCCCCUAAUUCUGUUUGCAAACUGAAUAGGUCACUAUAUGGCUUGAAACAAGCAUCUAUAGUAUGGUACCAAACCUUAUCAAAGGCUUUAUCCAAUUUUGAAUACAAGCAAUGCAAAACAGAUUAAUUAUUCACUAUUCAUAAACACUGACAAGGAAGAUACCACAAUAGUACUAGCUUAUGUUGAUGACCUAUUAAUAACAGGAAGCAACAUAAAUAAAAUCAACAACUUGAAGGAAGAUUUAAAAAAAAUCUUCAAAAUAAAAGACCUUGGAGAACUCAAAUACUUCUUAGGACUUGAGUUCACUAAAACACCAAAGGGCUUAUACAUUGGACAAAGAAAAUAUAUCUUAGAUCUAUUAGAAAAAUAUGAUCUAACCCAAUGUAAACCAAACAACUCACCUAAUAGUCAAAAACAAAUAUUUGACUAUAAAACAAAGAGACAAAAUAAUCAUACACAAAACCAAAUAAGUAAAACACCAAUGCAAUAAACAAAACAGAGGGAAGUGAAAUCCCACUCAAGGACCCACAAAAAUAUAGAAGUAUAAUUGGUAAGUUGGUAUAUUUAACAUGCGCAAGACCAGAUAUAUCCUAUGCAGUAACUUACCUAAGUCAGCACAUGGCUAACCCCACUGAGACACAUAUGAAGGCAGCAUAUAGAGUAUUAAAAUACAUUAAAGGAGCACCUGGAUUAGGAUUGCACUUCACGGGUGGCUCCUCAAUGGACCAUAUCUCAGCCUUCUCUGAUUCAAAUUGGGCAAGUUGUCCGAUAACCAGACGACCAACCUCGGGAUUUGCCAUAUUCUUAGGCACUUCCUUAAUAUCUUGGAAAUCAAAAAAACAACAAACCAUUUCAAGAUCAUCGGCAGAGGCCGAGUAUAGAGCAUUGGCUUACGCUACACGUGAGAUUACUUGGUUAGCAAUGCUGCUACAAGAAAUAAGAACAUACCAAAUUAGAAAAUCGAUUGCUCCUAGAAUAUUCACUGACAGCACAACAGCAGAGGCAAUGGCGAGAAACCCGUGCGAGACAAGGUUUUAGCGGGAGAUGUCAUACUGAGACACGUCCCUAGUGCACAAAACAUAGGUGAUUUUUUCACCAAACCCCUUGGAGGUCCAGCAUUUAAGAAUCUAAUCCAAAAACUAAAUCUCAUUGAUAUACAUGUUCAAAAUUCAAACUCAAUUAAUUCAUAUAAGGACCCCAAUGCACCUAUAUAUUCAAAUCAGGCCCUAACCGGUUUUGAUUUGAGGGAGGAUAUUAAAGAUAUACCCCUCAAUUAAAAUAAUAUAACAAGUAUAGUAUUAUAGUAAACAUUACAUAGGACCCCUCAUACUUAUUCACAACUCUUCACAUUCUAAAUACAUCUAUUAAUCACACAUAUAUAUAAAUCUUUAUUAAUAAGUCAACAUAUAAUCAAUAUUAAUUACCCAUGAUUCAUUUCCAUUCAUUGCAUUCCAUCAAUACACCUCAACCAACAUAGCUGUUGGGUGUUAUAAUCAUCUAUACAUAUCAACCUAAACCUCAUUAGUUCUUCACGUUCGUACAUCCUUAAUCUCAAACUCACACACACACACACACACACAGUUUGAUUACUCAAACUGAUCACUGCAACUCAAAUCGUUUCCGCAAUUCUCCAAAAGCUCAACCAACAAUUCAAGUUGUGGAUCUUGGCUUCAUCAAUCCUUGAUCAAUCUUGAUCCUACAAUAUCAUUUCAUAUAUAUAUUGCAUUCAUAUCAUCAUACAUUCAUUCAUCAUCAAAACAUUUCAUAUAUUUCUAUAUAUCAAAGUAUAUAAUCUGUCAUUCUCAAGUUCUUAAUACGUGUAACAGUUACUUCCGAAGACUUUAAAAUAAGAGAUCUUUAGUUUCGUGGAAUUCCAAAGUUUGUAUGGAGUCUUUGGUAAUAUAGGUCUUAUCAGGACUCUAUUUAAUCCAUAGCAGGCUGUAUUUAUAGCUUCUGCCUAGAAGGCAUGAGAAAUUGAGCAUGGUUCUUGUCAUUUCUAAUUGGAGUGUACGAUUUUUUUUCUUUCCACUAUACCAUUUUGUAGAGGGGAUUGUGGAAAUGAAAACUCAUAUUCUAUUUCAUGGGUUUUACAUAAUGUUUCAAAUUCUGAAUUUUCAAAUUCACCACUGUUUUACAUAAUGGCCCAACCUCAACUGACCUAGUCUAGUCUCGUGGAUCUCACGACAUUUCUUUGACUAUAGGUAAUGUCCAAAUCUUCUGUAAUCUUUUGGAUACAACACAUACGAACCACAAAUCUGAUUAAGAUUUAAACAUUAGAGUAUUAUCAGGAAACUCUUAAAAACCUCUUAAGUUUUUUCAGAUAGACUCUCGUACCUAAGAGUUUUAUAGGAUGGUUUGAACUAACCCAUAUAGGAAUAGGUAUUUCUGGAUUCUCAUAUAAGGUUAUUGGUGAUACAGUAUCCCGAACACGGUCACAACCUACCAGCAACUAGAAGUCCGGAUAGCCUAAGAUGAGUUGAGGUAUCUAUUCUAGGGUUGGGGAGGUCCCAGGUCGAAUCUUAGGAAGAUCGACUUUCCUGAGGAUCGACUUCCCUGGGAUCGACUUUUGAGUAAAGUCGAUCACCAGGAAAAGUCGAUCUCUGGAAAGUCGACCCCUGGACCCAAUCUGACCAGUUGGGCAGUUAGGCGGUUACUGCCCAAAUGACCAUAUUGCCCCCAUAAGAACCCCUAUAAAUAGAGGGCACCCCCCACUCAUUAAAGGCAGGUCAUUUGGAGCGAAAGGAUUCCUAGCGAAGCAGAGCUCUGCACACUUGAGUUCCGGUCCGGUUUCCCGCGGAGUUCCCCGCUUGGCGCUUGCUUGCGCGUCUUGGAGUACUGGUCGGGUUUCACCCCCAUCAGUUGGCGCCGCUUGUGACUCAAAGAUACUCACGACAAAAGCUCCUCGACUUUUUCAAAAAAAGUGAUCGACUUUUUUCCAAGUCGCCAGCUAGGGAGUCUUGUGAGGAAAUCAGCUAGCAAGGGAUCGACAUUUCAGAAGAUCGACUUUUUCUUCCAAGGAAAAAGUCGACCCCUCAAGGAGCUAGGCUUUCAGACAUCGACUUCCAAGGAAUCUUCCAAGUGCACUAGGGAUCGACUUUUCUCUCCAAGCAAAAGUCGAACACUCCUUCCAGGAAAAGUCGAACACUCCUUCCAGGAAAAGUCGAACACUCCAGGAUGGUGGUAACUAGAAGCACUUCCCAAGGAGGAGGAGCAAAUUCUCAGGAGGCGCCAGAGCAACAGCCUGGCAACUCAAAAACUAAAAGGCCAGUGGGUCGACCACCCAAGGCCAAUAAAAACAAGAGGACUCCCACGGGACCUGAGGCUGACACCGAAGGCGAACCCGAGCAAACCCCCCAAGCUUCAGCAGGAGGGGAAAAUCUGAACAUCACAGUUCAGGCAAUAGCAGAGGCCAUCCGACUCAUUGCUGAAAAGGAGAAACCUUCAGGAGAACAACCUCAGAAGGGGGGACCCACAAGCAGCAAGGAACCAAGGGCUGCUGCAUCAGAAUCCACUCAUGGGUUCCUAAAAAUGCCCAUAGAAGAGCUGGAAAAAAUGAAGGAAACCAUAGCGAAAAUGAGCGAGAAGAUAAAGGAUAUUGAAAAGUCUAAGACGUCAAUAUACCACUCAAAAGCUCAAACCUCAAAGCAGGCCAAGGCGCAGCAGGAGGUGUCAAGUCAUAGGGCAGCACACUCAAGUGCGCCACUAUCUCACAAACCAGAGGGGCAACCCAAACCUCUUUUCAGAAAACCCGUACAGGAAGAAAGUACGGGAGACACAGAAGGAGGAGGCGAGGUCCCAAACUGGCUGGUAGGCAUGGAUGCCCUGCACAAAUCGCUGAUGGUAAAACCAGCACCUCUGAAAUUCAGGCUACCCAGGCUGCAGAUCUAUGAUGGGAUGAUGGACCCAGCGGACCAUAUAAACAUGUUCGUAGGGGCAAUGCAGUGGGCUACAUCAAGGGAUGACAUUCUCUGUAGAGCAUUCCCAGGAACAUUAAAAGGACCCACAUACAGAUGGUUCGUCGAAUUGCAGCCAGGGAGCAUAACAAAUUUCGAUGACUUAAAAAAGAAGUUCGUCGCCCAACAUUGUGGAAACACAAGGGUCAGAAAGGGCACGGAAUCGCUGUUCGCAAUCAAGCAGAAUGGAGACACGCUUCGGAAUUAUACAACUAAAUUCACGGAAGCCAUGCAGAAAAUCUUCGAUCUGAACACAACAAUCGCAAUAUGCGCAUACUCAAAAGGGCUAGACAUGAACACGCCAUUAGCAAUAAAGCUAAACGUCAGUAAUGUAAAAUGCAUGGAGGACCUGCUAACAAAGGCCCAGAAAUACAUAAAUUCUGAAGAGUAUGAGAAAGAAAAAGUAAAAGAGAGAGGUGCCAUAAGCAAUAAAAAAGCAUAUGAAGCACCAAAGAAAAAAUUCCAGAAGUUUGAAAAAGGAGAAUCGUCCUGGAGACCAAAACACGACGGAAAGGUCUACCACACAUCUGAGGAGUUCGGGAAAUCAAGAUAUCCAAAGUACAAAGACUUGGGAUUUACGGUUUUCACUACUCCAAAAGAGGAAAUCUAUAAUAAAGAAAAAGGAAGAAUUAGGUUUCCUCAACCAGAAGAGUUGAACCCUGCAACAAAAGAGGCUCGAACAAGGAGGAACAGGUAUUGCAAGUUCCACAAGGAUUACGGGCACAACACGGAGAACUGCAGGGAGCUGAGCACCUUCCUAGAUACACAAAUAAAGGAAGGAAAGCUAAGGCAAUAUAUAAAUAAAAUAGAAAGGGGGCGACAAGGCUGCAAGGACCCAAAGAACAAGGGUAAGCGCCAACGCUCAAGGAGUCCAGAUUCAGACACUGACCACAAAAGAAGGGUAAUUAAUUUAAUCUUCGGUGGAGGAUCGGUAGGAGAAAGCAGAAGUUACUCGUGCAAAGUAAUGCAGACAACAACGGUACCAAAAUCUAAAAAAAGAUCGUACCCAAGCGAGGAAAUAAGCUUCUCUGAGGAAGAUCUGGACAACGUGGUCAGCCCACAUGAGGAUCCACUAGUGAUACAAGUGGAUAUAGGGGAUGACUUAAGUCUGAACAAAGUAAUGGUGGACAACGGCAGCUCAGUGGAUAUAUUAUACCUAGUUGCGUUCGAAAAAAUGGGCUACAAAGUGGAUCAGCUAACCCCGGCCAAGGAAGCCAUCUAUGGAUUUACAAACACAAAGGCCCCAGUAGUAGGAGCCAUCAAUCUACAGAUAUCCCUGGGAAAAAGAAACGGGAGAGUAUCACGCACAGCACACUUCAUGGUGGUCAACAUAGACUCUCCGUUCAAUGGGAUAUUGGGCAGACCAAGCAUUCACGGUUUCAAAGCGAUACCAUCAUCCUACCAUCAAUGCUUCAGGUACCCAGGAAAAGAUGGCAAAAUGGCAACAGUUUUUGGAGCACAGAAAGACUUCAGAAAUUCGUACAGGAAGACAACUAAAAUAGCCAAACCUAUAACCCUGUACAUCCAAGAAAGAGAGGAGGAAGAAGACACAACCUUAUCUAAUCAAGUUGAGGAGGUCAAACUCUCAAAANNNNNNNNNNNNNNNNNNNNNNNNNNNNNNNNNNNNNNNNNNNNNNNNNNNNNNNNNNNNNNNNNNNNNNNNNNNNNNNNNNNNNNNNNNNNNNNNNNNNUAAAAAAAUCACUACUGCAGCUAUUAGAAACCCAUGUGCACACGUUCGUAUGGGAAGGGGAGGCACCCUCACAGGUACAGCGUACUAUAACGUGCCAUGAGCUCAACAUAGACAGUAGCUUUACUCCUAUACGGCAGAAGCGAAGAAUACUCGCAGCUGAAAGAAAGGAUGCAGCGCAGGCUGAAAUAGAAAAGUUAAUCAAAGCUGGGCACAUUCGGGAAGUCAAAUAUCUGAAGUGGUUAGCAAACCCAGUUAUGGUCAAAAAAUCUAAUGGGAAGUGGAGGAUGUGUGUAGACUUCACAGAUCUCAACAAAGCAUGUCCAAAAGACAGCUACCCACUCCCAUCUAUCGACAGAUUAGUGGAUGCAGCAUCAGGAAAUGAGUUAUUAUCNNNNNNNNNNNNNNNNNNNNNNNNNNNNNNNNNNNNNNNNNNNNNNNNNNNNNNNNNNNNNNNNNNNNNNNNNNNNNNNNNNNNNNNNNNNNNNNNNNNNUGGAUGCACAUUCAGGGUACAACCAGAUCUUAAUGAAAGAAGAUGAUGAAGAGGCCACAUCAUUCAUCACAGAAUGGGGGACAUAUUGCUACAAAGUCAUGCCUUUCGGCUUACGAAAUGCAGGAGCAACCUUCCAAAGGCUGAUAGACAAGGUUUUCAAAAAGCAGGAAGGAAGAAAUGUCUUGGCAUAUGUAGAUGACAUUCUGGUAAAAUCCAAAAAAGCAGAUAAACACCCAAAUGAUCUGAAAGAAACCCUAGAAACUCUGCAGAAUUAUGGGAUGAGGUUAAACCCUGCCAAAUGCAGUUUCGGAGUACAAGAAGGAAAAUUUCUUGGAUUCUAUGUAGGGCAGAAAGGGAUAAAGCCAAAUCCAGAUAAAAUAGCAGCGAUACUAGAAACAACACCACCUCGAACAAUAAAGGAGGUACAAAAGCUGAACGGAAAAAUCAAUGCCUUAAGUCGGUUCAUUUCCAAAACAGCAGACAAGUGCAAACCCUUUUUCCAACUGCUAAAAACUAGUCAAAAAGGGACAAUAACAUGGACUACAGAGUGUGACGAGGCAUUUCAACAACUCAAAACACAUCUGACUUCUCUACCACACCUAACUUCGCCAAAGAUAGGGGAGGAAUUGUAAAUCUACGUAGCAGCUUCAGAAGAGGCUAUCAGUGCAGUUCUAAUAUGUCAAAGGGAGAGUGAACAGAUCCCGAUAUAUUAUCACUCAAAAAGGCCUUAAGGGGUAGAAACAAGAUAUCCUCCAGUGGAAAAAAUAGUCCUGGCAGUAGUACAUGCAGCACGCAGAUUCAGAGUAUACUUUCUGGCUCAUACAAUUAAAGUCUUAACAGAACAUCCACUGCGCAGAAUCCUCCACAGGCCAGAUACUUCCGGAAGAUUAACGAAGUGGGCACUAGAGUUAAGCGAGUUCGAUGUAGAUUUUGUUCCUGCCACAGCCAUUAAAGGGCAAGCAGUUGCAGACUUUAUUGUAGACAUGACCCAGGAAAGCAAAGAAAAACCUUGGAUAGUAGAGGUUGAUGGCUCAAGUUGCAGUACAGGUGCAGGAGUGGGAAUAAAGAUAAUCACUCCAGACCAAAGAAUAUAUGAACAUUCUAUCAGAUUACAGUUCUCAGCUACGAAUAAUAUAGCAGAAUACGAAGCUGUAAUCCAAGGAAUGAGAAUUCUCAGAAGGUUGGGGGCCUGUUCAGUAAUCAUUAGAACAGAUUCUCAACUAGUGGCUCGGCAAUUCACAGGAGAGUUCACUGUUAAAGAACCUCUAAUUGUACAGUACGCAGCCACACUGGAAAAAAUCAAAGAACAAUUUACUAAGGUUGAAGUAGAACAGAUACCAAGGAGUCAAAAUAACUCAGCUGAUGCCCUGGCAAAGCUAGCUUCUGCUUUCGAGGGGGGGCAGAGAGAGAUACUAGUUGACUCAGCAUCUACACCUUCAUGUAACUUAGUCACGAUCCAGGCAGAAGACUGGAGGAAACCCUUGAUAGAAUACUUCGAGGGACAGAAACUUCCUGAAAACAAGAAUGAAAGACGCAAGUUGCAAACACGCGUUUCAAGAUUCUGCCUGAUUGGUGAUAUUCUGUAUAAGAAAUCCUACGACGGACCUCUAAUGAAAUGUGUCUCAACAGAAGAAGGACAAUUCAUUGUAGAGGAGAUUCAUCAAGGAGUAUGCGGAAUACAUCAGGGGGGAAGAUCUUUGGCCCAAAGAAUAAUAAGGCAAGGAUAUUUCUGGCCCACACUGAAAAAAGAUGCAGUCCUAUUUGCAAGAAAAUGCAAGGCCUGUCAAAUACACAAAAACAUACAGAGAAAUCCCGCAACUCAACUAACAGGGGUAGAAAGCCCCAUCCCCUUUGCAAUGUGGGGAUUAGAUAUUGUGGGACCAUUUCCAGUAUCGACAGGCCAGGCUAAAUUUAUAUUUGUGGCUGUCGAUUACUUUACUAAAUGGGUCGAGGCACUAGCUGUACCCAAGAUAACUCAAGGAGCAGCAACGAAAUUUGUCUUCAAGUGCAUAAUGUGCAGAUUCGGUGUUCCAAUGCAUAUAGUGACAGAUAACGAUACACAGUUUACCGGUGGGGAGUUUACGAGAUUGUGCGAGAACAUGGGCACUAGAAUCCAUUUUUCAUCGGUAUACAGACCACAGGGUAAUGGGCAAGUAGAAGUCACAAACAGGGCCAUCGUUCAGGGACUGAAGAAAAAAGUCGAACAGGCCAAAGGUUCGUGGGCAGAUCUACUACCAGAGAUCCUGUGGGCGUAUAGAACCACUGAAAAGACACCCACCGGAGAAACCCCGUUCUCACUAGCAUAUGGAAUGGAAGCACUAAUCCCAACAGAGCUAAGCAUUCCAACAGUCAGAGUGUUAUCCUAUGACAUGGAAGAAAACAUGAGAUCAUGUGCGAUAACUCUGGACUUAGUGGAUGAGCUUAGGGAUAAUGCACAAGCAAAGAAUGCAGUUUACAAACAAAGUAUCGCUAGACAUCACGACAAGAAUGUCAAGGGUAAAGCGAUAAGAAAAGGGAGCCUAGUAUGGAGAAGAGCGAGUGUCGGCAGAAAAGACUGCUCUAAAGGCAAACUAGGCGCAAAUUGGGAAGGACCAUAUGUGGUGGAGGAAGAACUCCGACCAGGCACGUACAAGUUAAAGCGGGAAGAUGGAACAGGCAUCCCUAAUACUUGACACGCAGAUAACCUACAGUUGUACUUUUAAACAAUUAAGUAGGAUUAUAUUACUCUUAUAAUAGUUUGAACUACGUAACUAGUAUGUUAUUUAGUUAGCUAUCAGAACAUUUGAAAAUACAUUCCAUAUAUUGAUUUAAAAAGAAUUACAGAGGAAUGUAAAUUACAAAGGAUAAGAUAGAGGAUUAAUCUAUUUAGAAGGGGGGGGUGUAUCUUUAGAACCCUCUGCAUCGUUGUUGUCUUGAUCUUCUACGGAGAAAUCUUUAUCAACGGCAGCAGUCGUAUCAUCCCCCAGAGCUUCUUCUUCUUCAUCUUCUUCUUCCGCAAGCGUCCGAUUUCGAACUUCGGUAGCUUCUUUGGGCUACUUGCGGGCCCAGUUGUGGACAUCCUCAGCUUCAAAACCCGGACAGACAUGAGGACCCAGGUCGACCAAGUCAUUAUAAUCUCGCACAUUGGCAAGAUAAUCGACCUUAAGUUUUUCCAGAUGGUCGAUCAUGCGUUGAAGCUCCUCAGUGGCAUGUCGAGCUUCCUCGGUCAGACGUUGGAUCUCCUCAGUCUUUGCCCGGUCCAUUUCUUCCAGUCGCGUUAUUGAUUUCUGAUUAUCAUCCAGCGACUUCAACAGCUUCUUGUUCUCUUCAGAACUUUCAUCCAGUCGGUCGGAAAAUAUGGAGUUCUGUGUCCGACAGGAGUCAAGGUUCGCCUCAACAUUUUCGCGCUGGCGGUCGAGAUCGACAAUCAUCGAAUCUUUAAUCGAGACCUUGGCACGUUCAGCUGCUAGCUCCAGCUCUGCAGCCCCCAACUGCCCGUUGAUCUUAGAGAUCUCCUGCUCCUUAUCUCUCAAGAGAUUCCUUUGAGCAGCCCAAUCCGCAGCCAACUUCUUGUUAGUGGCAGACAAAGUAGAGGCGUCUGAAACCUUUUGUGUAACCUCGCCUUCCAGAUCUUUACAUCGGCGCUUUACUCUCUUCAACUCGUCUUCCAUAGACUGAUAGUCACGAAGACGAGACAGGGAAGAGAGGCGGCCCUGAAACAAGUAGGUGAGCUGCAAAAAGAGAAAGAAUGGGUAAGGACAUGCUCAUAGAAAUAAUCAAAACAAAAGCACUCACGUUGCUCAGGUUCUGGCCUAUUUCCUCAACAGUCCGAUCCAUCGGAUACCCAGAAAUGGUCCGCAGUGUAGUCCGGGCGGUAUCCGUGUCACUUAGACCCGUAGUUCCGGGGGUGCGAACCUUGGUAUCCCGGCAGUUGUGUCUCCCGGGUGGAAGAGUAAUUGUAGCGGCCCCGGGAGGACUCCCCAGCAUAAUAAGUCCGGCGAGGAGGAGUUCGUCGCCUCGGGGAGUGUCUCCUCUUCCUGGGAGGAGAUGAGUUGGUCCUGGGGGGAGGAGUUCGUUCUUUUCUUCUUCACCUCUCAGAGAUCUCUUUCUCUGUGGCUUUCUCAGUCCGCUCAGAUUGAGCCUCUUUCUCUGUGGUUUUCUCUGCUGUUUUCCCUCGCUCCUCUUCUGACAGAGUAGGGAAGAAGUCGGAGAGCCUGGAAGCAGCAGGAGACUGCACAGGAGCAGUUUCUGUAGGUACCACCGGAGGUACCUCCCCUUCCUCAGUUCGUGGGACUUCAUCAGGAGUAGGGGAUUGGGCCACAGCAUAAGCAUUCUCAAGGGCACGUUGCCUCAAAUAUCAGUGUCGGAAGGCUUGGAGGCAGCUGCAUAAACCUUGGAGCCUGUUUCAUUUUGCCCAACGCGUUCAGGGAUACCUCCGGGGUUAUGCAUGUAAAAAUCUGCAAGGAAUAAAAACAGAGUUAGAAAAUGCAUACAUAUAUAAACAUAAAAUAAAAAAACACAGGCAAAGGAAGACCUUGUCGGUUAAAAGUAUCAUCAAUCGCGUGACCGACAGGCACAGCGAUAGGAUGCAAAUAGGCCAGCCUGUGCACAGAAGCUUCCUCAUCCUCAGUCAGAUCAGGACGAGGAAUGGGCUUGCGACCACUAGUAGAUGCAGGGAGAAGUCUGCUACCAGGGCAUAACCUGCAAUCCACAAAGAUGAACUCAGGAUCUUUCAAGAGGGCAGAGUGAGUAAUGGAUGUAGCACGGCUGGCACAUGCAAUGAAAGGGCUGCCCUUCUUCGGAUUUUGGAAUGUGAAGAAGUGGAAGAACAGCCGAGCAGUAAGGACUAUGCCAGCAUCCCGGAGGAUAUUUAUGAAUCCCCUGACAUAGAAAAAGAAGGCAGCACCCAUUUGAGAGAUGCACAACCCAGAAUACAAAAGGAUUUCACUAACCAAGGAAGGGAUCGGGAGGAUCGGAAAGUUAGUGAAAUAGAUUCGGUGAAGUGCCAACAUAAAAUAGGGGGCACAUCACCAGUAUUCUCAGAGGGGUACGCCCAGUGCACUCUCUCUCUAAGCUCUAACCCCCUCAAAAUUCUUUGGGCGACAUCCAAGGAAAGGGUGUUAGAGCAGCUACCCGCAUUGGAGGAAAGGGGGUAGCCCGGAAUAUCAGUCAGAGAGACUGCACAGAAGGAACCAUAUCCAAUCCCGUACUCGCCCCGGUCAAGGAUAGGGACAACGUGGAAACCGUUGCGAACGAGAACGGACCACUGACGCCAAGAACCAUCCAUCUCCCGAUAGAAGGAUGGGGCGCUCUUCUCCUCAAGGGGAGAAGGAAAGGGUACUUGUCCCUCGUCUCAGGGAGGUAGCCCAAUGGGGAACUCUCGAGAACAUGAAUGUUCUGACUACAGACUUCGGGAGGAAGUUGAAUAGAACUGUCUGUAGUCACGGAUAAAACCCCCGAAGUAGGAGUCUCCUCAGGAAUGGAAGGCAAAAUAAUGGUAGGAGGAGGAGUCCUAACAACGGAGGGGGGGUUCCUCCAAUUUCUACAUCCUCCGAGGAAGAAGAGCUAUAGGAGGAAGAACCCGAGCUUCCCGAGCUAGAUGUGGAAGACCCCGAACUGGAACGUACGGGGGAAGAGUGGGGAGCACCUACAAACAAAAAGAAACAAAUAAAGAGUAAGUUACGAAAUAGAUAACAAAUAAGUAACUUACUAGGUACGGGCUUGCGCGUACGACGGGAAAGAGUUUUCCGCUUACUUCUAGCAGUUAAGGAGGAAGGCGAAGCUCUAGGCUCCGUUACGGCAGGAGCAGCUUGAACAGACUCCGGUUCAGCAGGAACAUCCUGAACCUCGAUGUUGUCUGGUGCGACAACUUGAGAAGUCUGAGGGCUAGCAUCAACAGCCCGGUCCUCAUCAAGAGGAAGGUCUUGCUGCAAGUUCUUGUCAGAAGACAUUAUAAACCUGCACGAAGAACAGAACAGUCAGGCCAAGCUAUGGCAAAAGUCGAUCCCAAGAAAAGUCGAUCUGGACUUCAGGGAAUCGAACGUGCAAUAUAAGGGAAGUCGAUCUCAGAAGUCGAUCCCAGAAAAGUCGACUGUCAGGAGACAAGGGUCUCGAGAAGUCGAUCCCAGUAAAAAUGGACCCAACUUUGAAAAGUCGAUGACAAGGCGUCAAACCUCACAAAGUUGGAUCACAGUCCAAUGGGGAACAACUUCAAAAGGGACCGACUUUCAGAAAAGUCGGACUCCAAGGAAGUCGAACCCAGUGCAACCUCAGAAGAGCCCGACAACAAAAGUCGGACCCCUGAAACUUGCACCCCCAAGGCUCAAGUCGAAGCCUCACGCACGCUGGAAGUCGAAGCGGAGAAGCUGGAAGUCGAAGCGGAGGACUGGAAGUCGAUGCGGAGGAAGUCGAUGCGCAGAAAGUCGAUCAGUCGGAGCAAAGGAAACAAGUGGGAAGAAAGUGAACCCCCCUCCGCUAUUUAUAGGGGAAAGUCGAAGACGAACCGUCGCGAGCACUGUUCAUCCGGGUCGACCCGUUGGGCCGGGAAGCCCACGGGCCCGGGCAGGCCCACGACGGCCCAGUCCGCGAAAAACCCCAAAAUCCAACUAGAUGGCAUCGACAUUCCAGGAAAAUUCAUCGACAUUUCAGAAAAAUAAUCGACAUUCCACAGAAAAUUAAGUUCGACAUUCCCAAAAAAGGGGGAUAGACGUCGACAUUUGGCAAGGAAUUCGAUACCUUCAAAAGAGAAGGACAGGAUCGACAUUCCGCAGGAAAUGGAGUUCGACAUUCCCAAAAAGGGGGAUAGACAUCGACAUUUGGCAAGGAAUUCGACGCCUUCAAAAGAGAAGGAUAGGAUCGACAUUCCGCAGGAAAUGGAGUUCGACAUUCCUAAAAAAAAAAGGGAUAGACGUCGACAUUUGGCAAGGAAUUCGAUGCCUUCAGAAGAGAAGGACAGGAUCGACAUUCCGCAGAAAAUUGAAUUCGACAUUCCCAAAAAAGGGGAUAGACGUCGACAUUUGGCAAGGAAUUCGAUGCCUUCAAAAGAGAAGGACAGGAUCGACAUUCCGCAGGAAAUGGAGUUCGACAUUCCCAAAAAAGGGGGAUAGACGUCGACAUUUGGCAAGAAAGUCGAUGCCUUCAAAAGAGAAGGACAAGAUCGACAUUCCGCACUACUCUGAUCGACAUCCUCAGGAAAAGAUGAGAUCGACUUUUUGGGCAACUUCGACAUUUCCAGAGAGAAAUGAGAUCGACUUGUCAAAAAUUCGACAUCUUCAGAAAAGGAUCAGAAGUCAUCGACAUCCUCAGAAAAAGGUGAGAUCGACAUUUUUUUGGGCAACAUCGACAUUUCCAGGGAGAAAUGAGAUCGACUUGUCAAAAAUCAGACACCUUUAGAAAAGGAUUAGCAGUCAUCGACAUCCUCAGAAAAAGAUGAGAUCGACAUUUUUCGGGCAACAUCGACAUUUCCAGGGAGAAAUGAGAUCGACUUGUUGUCAAAAAUCCGACAUCUUCAGAAAAGGAUCGGCUGACACAUCGACAUCCUCAGAAAAAGAUGAGAUCGACUUUUGGAACAACGUCGACGUUUCCAGGGAGAAAUAAGAUCGACUCGUUGUCAAAAAUCCGACAUCUUCAGAAAAGGACAAAAGAAUAUGGUAUUGACCAAAAGAAAGCAUCGGUUACACUAACGUACUUCAAAGUAAAGGUGUAAGUCGAGUAAAGGAAAAGGUAAAAGUAUAUUUAUUCAAAGUCACAAAAAUGAUGAAUGAAAAAUAUUACAGGUUCCUAAUUAAAAUUGAUACGGCGACGUAAACGGCGAGGGACCUGAUCCAGCGGGGAAGCACCGCGACGGGGACGCCUCCGACGUCGGCCACGAGGAAGGACAACAGAAGAAGAGGCGGGCGGAAGAUCGCCACCAGACCAUUCUUCAAAUAUGGAUUCCCUAGCUGCAACAGCAACACUCUGCCGCUCAACAAUAAGCUGGCGCAGAGAAGGAAGAUCCAAGGUUGACGACCGAGGAUCCAAAAUAUUCAAAAUUCGAUCCAGCUCCUCAAUCUCUCCCUGAAUAAAAUCAGCAAAGAGACUCACAAGAAGAGCCAUGGAUGGAUGAAGGAAAAGGAUAACCUAGGGGUCCUAUUUAUAGACCCUAGGACAGCACAAAAGGACAAAAAUGACAAAUUCGACUUUUUAUCACAAGGGAUCGACUUUUGACCAAAAGCAUCAGGAAUCGACUUUUUGACAAAAGUCGACCAAACUCAACAAGGGAUCGACAUUUCGCAAAAGUCGACCAAACUCGAUAAGGGAUCGACAUUUAGCAAAAGUCGAGCAGAAUCAACAAGGGAUCGACUUUUUCUUCCCACAUAAAAGGGGUGCAGAAAAAAAGAACCCAGGCAAGUUGGAGUUGCGGAGGCACACCAAAACAGGAGGGUGUAACACGAAAUGCUCCUGAGGAAUCGUGGAAGUCCACAACUCGGACGGCGAUACGGCAGCAAAAUGAGCUGAGCCAUAUAAAGAUAUUUGAACUCCUACUAUUACUGGACGCAGUAACAAAGUAGGACGCCAAAUUAACUCUACCUACGGAAGAACGUGGAUAGAGAAAGUCUUAAUGGUAACAGAGUCAAGAUGCGUAUCCCAUCCAAGGCAAGAGUGAACCCCACCUACGGAAAAACGUAGGUUAGACGGGGAACACAUCGGCAAGAGUGAACCUCACCUACGGAAACGUAGUGUUAGACGAGGGACGUACUCAAAAGUGAAUCACACCUACGGAAGAACGUAGGUUAGACGGGGAACACAUCGGCAAGAGUGAACCUCACCUACGGAAACGUAGUGUUAGACGAGGAACGUACUCAANNNNNNNNNNNNNNNNNNNNNNNNNNNNNNNNNNNNNNNNNNNNNNNNNNNNNNNNNNNNNNNNNNNNNNNNNNNNNNNNNNNNNNNNNNNNNNNNNNNNNNNNNNNNNNNNNNNNNNNNNNNNNNNNNNNNNNNNNNNNNNNNNNNNNNNNNNNNNNNNNNNNNNNNNNNNNNNNNNNNNNNNNNNNNNNNNNNNNNNNNNNNNNNNNNNNNNNNNNNNNNNNNNNNNNNNNNNNNNNNNNNNNNNNNNNNNNNNNNNNNNNNNNNNNNNNNNNNNNNNNNNNNNNNNNNNNNNNNNNNNNNNNNNNNNNNNNNNNNNNNNNNNNNNNNNNNNNNNNNNNNNNNNNNNNNNNNNNNNNNNNNNNNNNNNNNNNNNNNNNNNNNNNNNNNNNNNNNNNNNNNNNNNNNNNNNNNNNNNNNNNNNNNNNNNNNNNNNNNNNNNNNNNNNNNNNNNNNNNNNNNNNNNNNNNNNNNNNNNNNNNNNNNNNNNNNNNNNNNNNNNNNNNNNNNNNNNNNNNNNNNNNNGCAGUGCUCAAGGAUAGCGCAGGCAAGGCGUCAAGGUGGGCAAGCAGGGUUCCGCGGGAGAAUCGGGCCGGACAGGUGUGCAAGGAGUAGGCUUCGGCUAGGACAAACUGGACAAUAGUUGGCAAAAGCGCGUGACAAACCUCCGUGGAAGCAUAGAUACAACCUCGCAGGCGUGGAGGGGGGGAGUACUGGUGAGAGAGGAUCUUACAUCCAGGGACAUCACCAGAAAUCCACAUCCCAGCACGCAAAGAGGGGGGGGAAUACUUAUAGUACAGGGUCCGACACGCAGACCAUAGUACUAAAAGACGUAUCCCAAAGUAGCUAAUACGCAGAGGAGGGGGGAGUACUGGUGAUACAGUAUCCCGAACACGGUCACAACCUACCAGCAACUAGAAGUCCGGAUAGCCUAAGAUGAGUUGAGGUAUCUAUUCUAGGGUUGGGGAGGUCCCAGGUCGAAUCCUAGGAAGAUCGACUUUCCUGAGGAUCGACUUCCCUGGGAUCNNNNNNNNNNNNNNNNNNNNNNNNNNNNNNNNNNNNNNNNNNNNNNNNNNNNNNNNNNNNNNNNNNNNNNNNNNNNNNNNNNNNNNNNNNNNNNNNNNNNCAGAAAGUCGAUCUCUGAAAAGUCGACCCCUGGACCCAAUCUGAUCAGUUGGGCAGUUAGGCGGUUACUGCCCAAAUGACCAGAUUACCCCCAUAGGAACCCCUAUAAAUAGAGGGCACCCCCCACUCAUUAAAGGCAGGUCAUUUGGAGCGAAAGGAUUCCUAGCGAAGCAGAGCUCUGCACACUUGAGUUCCGGUCCGGUUUCCCGCGGAGUUCCCCGCUUGGCGCUUGCUUGCGCGUCUUGGAGUACUGGUCGGGUUUCACCCCCAUCAGUUAUUAACUUAAGAUUCUAGAAAUUUUUAUAAAACCAACCUAAGCUUUAUGGUUCAGGUUAUAAACCCCUCAAGUGCUGGUAUUGAAACAAUACUUUUUACAAUACUUGGAACACGAUUUUACCACAGGAUUAUAUGUAUACUGAAAAUUUAUCCCUUGUUCUUGAUUGUAGCCCUAUGCUACCAACCUAGCUUUACAUCUCCCCAUUGGUCCAUCUGAUCUCCUUUUAAUCUUGUAUACCCACUUACUGGUCUCAUUCUCUCUGAUAAUCUGUAAUAUUCCGCUGCGAUCGGAGGGGACGAGAUGAGAGCUGAGAACGUAUUCCGAGGAGGGAGGAAGAGAUCUCACGAGGAGCCAGAGGUAGGAGGAAUUGUUUAACUGAAAUUCGAUGAUCCUAACCAGGAUCUCGAUGGUCUUUAAAUUCAAACUGGAGUAACAGACUGAUCGUGAUCACGAUCUUUGUAACUGACAUGUAAUUACUCUAAUUACGUAAUUAAAACUAAUUACUAAUAAUAUUCAAAGUUACCGUCCCGCUUAACCCGAGCAUACCUUCGAGUUGUAUCUUCACCGGUGACCGUGCUAUCCUCUGAACUGUCACCGGCCGAAUCUUCUUCUAGUGCGAGCUCUUCCUUGAGUCGAGUGAUCACUGUGUUCAAGUCUAAUUCCAUUGUAACAUAAUCUUGUAUAAUCUUGGAACACGAUCUUCUUUCUUCACAAAUACACAUGUAUCAUUCUCUCUGAUUGUGAUCUUCAUCUCCUCCUUCAUUGCCAAUCUCCAACAUUUAUGUUUAUUACCCUAUUUAAAAGAUGUAGACACAAACAGAUCAUUUGUAACAUUUGUAUUAUUACAUAGAAGAUCUUUAUAUUUGGUACAUGCUUGUUGAUAAGAAACGAAAUAUCCUACCAGCGCUCGUGGUAGUGCGAGCGGCUACCUUCUUUUGCCGGAAGAUCUGAUAUCCACGACGAACGCUCUACAUCAAGUCUUUCGGGAGGAAUUAGGCGAUUUGGAGCUUAAAUCGGCGAUUUCUCCGUGAUUCACGCUCUAAAAAGGAUGGAAUUGAUGUCUUUGGAUUGAGCCCGGGUUCCCCUUUUAUAGGACCUCUGGGGGCUUAAUCCACGGCGGAGAUCACACCCGACCGUAGACAAAAACCUAAUGGAAUUCAUGUAUUAGACAAACUAAAAAAAUCGAACACCAAGUCUCUUACAUUGAGGAGAUGGUAUGAACGAAGAGUAGGAGAUGAGGAUUCACGAACGAAAAAAAAAGUGUCGUGCAAGAAUAUAUUCGAGGUACGUAACGACGAGGAUGAAUAUGUGUUUCCGACGAGAACAAAAAGAAAAUGGGUUCCCUUGGUGAGUUGAAAAAAAAAUGAAAAAAAUGAGUACGAAAAAAAAAUGAAGAAAAAGAUGGGUGGAGAUGAGAUUACGUGUGACAUGUAAGGUAAGGUACAAAUUACAUGUAAGGUACUUGACAGGUAAAGUACAAGGUAAGUGUAGAAAAGUCAUAUAUAGGUGUAGAAGAAUCUUUAUUUCAUAGAGAUAUGUGCAAAUAAAACAAUAAAAACUCUUAAAACGAAAAACGGUUGGGAUAAAGAGGUACAACAUCCAACGACUCAGCUAAAGUGAACGCAUGUGAUAAUUCCUGUAGUAUUAUAAUCUAACAUAUAUAAUUCAAUAUCUAGAAUAAUUAGAUUUUCUUAUAUAUGAAUUGUUUUUUUUGCUAAUAAUUUGAAUAAACGACGGAUGUAUAUGAAUUGUUGUUCUCUUUGGUUGGUUGUUAGCAGUACUGGUUGUUAGUCAAGUCUUUGGAAUUCAUACGGCGGGUCUUUGUAUUUUUUGAAGAUAUCUUCAAUUCCGUUGAAAACUUCAGCUGGCAAAGGCCGAGGAGUAUCAAUUAUGACAUCAAUAUUUUCUCUCGCUUGAUCUAUUGAUGUUACGCCAAUUAUUGAACUGGUGACGAACGGUUUGUCACGUGUAAAUCCAAGGGAAAGUUCGACAGGACUCAAACCAUAUUUCUUUCCCAAAUCCACAUAUAAUUUUGUAGCCUCCUGAUGAAUUGGUAAAAAAACAUCCAAUUUAAUAACAAUAAGAUUAGGCAUUUGCAUUGCAUAAAUUGUAAGUGCUUACUUACCCUUGAAAGAGACUUAUUGUACCUUUCCAUAUAACCUGGAAAGAUUUUGAACCUGCCUUUCUUUGAUGCUUCAGUUUCAGGGCCAAGGUAUUUUCCACUUAGAGAACCUCCAGCAAGUGGAGAAUAUGCAAGCAAUCCGAUGUUAUUGUUGUUUGGAUGGCAUAUCUCAACCAGAUCAACUAUAAAUAAAUACACACAAAUUUAAAUACUGAUUCAGAUAUUCACUUCAAAUAUAACAUUAUUUUUACUUCACAAUAUCAUCAGUGAGAUUCUUGAGUA